rnacentral:rRNA from 1 species
GAUGAACGCUGGCGGCGUGCCUAAUACAUGCAAGUCGAGCGAACAGACGAGGAGCUUGCUCCUCUGACGUUAGCGGCGGACGGGUGAGUAACACGUGGAUAACCUACCUAUAAGACUGGGAUAACUUCGGGAAACCGGAGCUAAUACCGGAUAAUAUAUUGAACCGCAUGGUUCAAUAGUGAAAGACGGUUUUGCUGUCACUUAUAGAUGGAUCCGCGCCGCAUUAGCUAGUUGGUAAGGUAACGGCUUACCAAGGCAACGAUGCGUAGCCGACCUGAGAGAGUGAUCGGCCACACGGGAACUGAGACACGGUCCAGACUCCUACGGGAGGCAGCAGUAGGGAAUCUGCCGCAAUGGGCGAAAGCCUGACGGAGCAACGCCGCGUGAGUGAUGAAGGUCUUCGGAUCGUAAAACUCUGUUAUUAGGGAAGAACAAAUGUGUAAGUAACUAUGCACGUCUUGACGGUACCUAAUCAGAAAGCCACGGCUAACUACGUG